GGGAGCGCGAGAGAGAGAGAGAGAGGGGAGCGCGCACCGGCAGGUCUUCGAAAUUCGCGCAAUCGCCGUUGUGAUCAACGAUGAUGUCGGCACGCCACGUGUGUUUGUCAUUAUGCGAUGCUGACAGUGAUGAUGAUGAUUACGUUGGUGUCGUGCACACAUUUUGGACAAUCAUCCGAAUACCCGCGCGUACGAUGUAACGUAUGCAGUACAUUUGCCGUUGCGUGUGUGCGUGCGUAAGCGCAGUAGCUCUGUUGCGAUAUAUACACAACAUAAAUUACGUGCGACCUGCGCUCUGCUAAUUGGAGAGCUGAAUAUUUGGCUCGGCGCAGCGAGGCGCAAUUUUUCUGCCGGUGUGACCGCAAGUUCAUCCGUUGCGUGCGGCGUGACUCGCCCAGCUUCGUGUCUUUAACGGCGCUGCUGCGUCCACCACCGCCGCCGUCACCACCGUCACCACCGCCACCGUCACCACCGUCAUCACCGCCACGACCGCCGCCGUCGCUGUCGCCGCCACCGCCAUCAACAUCGUCGUCGUCGGGAUCGGAAGGAAGAUUGAAGAUCCAGCAUCGCGCACAAGCAAGGGACGAGACGAAUUGACGCACCUUAAAAUACUCAAGCCUUCGCAAAACAAAUUAAUUUAAAAGUCCUAGAUUAAUGAGUGACGGGGGGGGGGGGGUUAUCUGCUUUUGUUUAUCCGAAGAGCGGACAAGUCCACGAGAUGGAUCGUGACAUCGCAUGGUCGUGAGAAAGACUGCGGCGAAUUGGGAGAUGCUUUCAUCCAGCAGUGGAUUGACCGUUGCUGAUAAUGUUGACGAUGAUAAUUCCACAAGCUGGCAAAGAGGCCGUGGGGGGGGGGGGGUUAUUUUGUCACCAAGCGGCGGUUCCACGACUUCCACCCCGGCAUACAUCGACUCGUCUCUUAUUGCCGGACCCUCUUUGUCGUUGUGCGUGAAUUGAGGUCCUGCAGGCGGACGAUGAGCGCGCCUAUUCAAAGUCGUAAAUGUUGCAGCCACUGUCGACAACAAUGCAAUAGCAUGCACACAGAUGCGUGUACAAUGGUAUUGCAUUGUUAGCCGUCUUAUAAUAAAAAUAACGAAUUGUAACCAAAGACAGUUACCAAAAGCAUCACACUCAACGUUGCACGUGGUGGCCAAGAGGGGGAAAUUAGGCAGCUUACAAAAAACGAAACAUGUUCUCUCUGGCAAGGUAGCUCGCUAUCUCUAACAUUCGCACCCCCGAUUAGCACGGUUGGCUACGCACGGUGCCAAAGAGGCUAACACACAAACUCGGCUAUGUAUCGGGUAGCUGCGUGACACCCGUUUGAAGCUCCCUUCAUCGUCGUCAAGAAGUCAUGGUCAAUCCGCUGCUGGAUGAAGUCCUACCCGAGUGUACUUGUAGACACAGACACCCCCCGCACUAAUGUGUUUGUGUUGUUAUCGCGACAUCGCUGCGCGUCGCUCUUGCCCCGCGGCGCCUCCUCUUCAUUCGCGUCGCGAGAGGAGCCACGCCUGGCCACAGGGGGAGGGAAGCGCAGUCGCGCUGGACAGCUCUCGGCGUUGUUCCGAACGAUGUCUCCGAACUUUCUCUCUCUCUCUCUGUCUGUGUCUGUCUCACGGCCUCUGCAGGUGCAACCCGAGCGCACGUCGCAGAGCCUUGCACGCAAAUCGCACGCGAGAUUCGCGUCUUUCAAUUGCGCUCCAAUCGUGGCGAGUCUCACUGGGGGCCGGGGUGGAGACUGGGGCUUGGGUUGGCAGCACGGUCCAUCAAUCGAGGGGGGGGGGGGGGGUGGUUAGCAGGCACAGACCCAGAGAGAAAAACGUCGUUUUGAUAGGGACGGACAAAACGAUGACCAACGUUUACCCGCCUUCCAUACCGAGCCGUGCUAAGGUCACACAGCAAGCAAGCGAAGGGGUGUUUCUCUCCCGUGCUGUGUGUAUACUGUCUCGCGUGACAGUAGUGGCCUCAGCGUCUGCAAAGGGGGCUCCCAUUAAUGCCCUCGAUGCGUAGUCAGAAGGAAGGAUGAGCAAGAGGGAUUGCUGCCUGGACUCCGAACGCGUUUCCUUCCCACUCAUCCUCUCUCCCCUACCUACUCGGCAGGCCUCCCCCUCCAUGCCCUUCUCCACACGCCGGGUGCCGACUGCCGGAACCCCGACACGGACGAGCUCCGGGCCUCGCCGUUUUGUUUUCAGGUCGCGGUUGUCGAGUACGUGCAGACCCAGUACGCCAUCACGGCCAGCGACACACGCCACCACUGAAGGUGCAAUAGAUGCGGCAAUGCGUGUGUUGAGCUGGGGAAGAUGAUACGAAGUUGGUGACGAUGGGGGGGAGGGGGGGGUUUAUAAAGGCGAACAAAUGCGAGGAAAAUAACAGAGAGAGAGAGAAGUGUUGUGACCCAAAUUGAAAACUCAUUUCUUUCGGACUGAUGUUUGUGUACAGUUUGUUGUCCUUCCCCCGCACCUCCGAAUUAGCACGGUUGGCUAUGUACGGUGCGAAAGAAGUUCUACAUGUACACAUGCGACCUCGUGUGGCGCGUAGACACUGUGGAUGAGCCGAAACAAUUCCUCCACAUGGGAAGAUCACGUUGAACGCGAACGAGGGUAGCAGCGACAGACGAGUGGACAGAGAGUCGACUGACCGCCGGGCAGCUGUUGACCGGAGUGAAUCGGCGAGUGCAGAGUCAUCACCCUACUGCUUUACGUUGUACGCAUGCAUGUGUGCAUGUUGACGUCUUUCGCACCGUGCGUAGUCAACCGUGCUCAUCGGAGGUGCCAGAAAACCUGAUCGUGGCAGCCUGCCCCAUUGAGAAAGCCCUCUCCCCCCUAAUGAGGCAACACGUGUGCACCUCACGCACGAUUUGGAACAUAAUGGAUACGCCACCGUCGAAAUCCAAUAUCCCUUUUCGCGUAUUAGAGAACGAGCCGCAGUUUCGUGAGCCGCGUCCUCCUCGACGUCACAACGCUGAGGAGAGAACGUCUCUCGAUGUGUCACGAUGUCACUGCAGCGAUGUGUCACGAUGUCACUGCAGCGAUGUGUCACGAUGUCACUGCAGCGAUGUGUCACGAUGUCACUGCAGCGAUGUGUCACGAUGUCACUGCAGCGAUGUGUCACGAAGCGGCCGAGGGUUCCUUUCAAGUUUGCGUUACCUUAUCAAGGAAGUCUUGAGACUGGUGUGUCGAUCAGCCUCCACCAUGCGGCCCCACCAUGUGUAGUUACACGAUUAAGAGCGGUUUUGUCUUGGGAGUUGGGUCUCCCUCGAAGCAACAAACACACGUGGACAUUGCGGCCUUUGCAUAAUUUGAUUGAAUUAGUUCAGGGAUAUUGUGCGUCUAUGUGUGUAUAUGUGGCUUGAUUGCAGACAAUUCGACCUGAGCAUUUGCAUAUGCUUCAUUAACCGAGGUGCACGCGAUGUGCAUUCCAAGUUAACGUAACGCAUGACACAGGGAGAUGUCGGGUCGGUAUGCUGGUUAAAAAAUAAAAUAACAUUGCACAUCCCAUGAAAGUUACGAAUACUGGACUGUAACCGUCAGUCAAGGCAACAUUUUCAAAAAUCCGUAAUUAUUAAUAUUGUUAAAUAAACGCACCAUACCAUUGGUACAGUACAAUAUUAUUGGCGAGUAUCAUUUCAACAAUAAUAACGAAACCCGCACCUUUCUAUCUUUACAAAAUCACAUGCACACAGAUUACUAAAAGAUGCAAAUAUUUAUUUUACAUUAAAAACAGAAGCAUCUACACUAAACCAUCGCUUGCAUCUAUAACCAUACAUGUCGAAUGCGCACUUAUUUUUUACAAAAAUUGACAUGGGUUUAUGGGAGGGGGGGACAGGAAGAACACGACACAAAACACAAAGAUCAGCAAAAAAAACUUGUCCAUGGUCUAAUGCCCCACACACAUCGUCGACCAAUGAGUAAAUACAAAAAUAAUAUGCAUUGUAUUCCGAUGGAGAAACAAAAACAAAAAGCUCAACUAAGUCCAGACAACAGAACGAUGUUGGUUGUUAGUGUGUGACAUCUGUGGUUUUUUUUGUUUUGCCGAGAUAUUUACAAGCGCCACGUGGGGUCAAACGCACAACAACUUUAGCAGGGCGGCCCCAAACGGUGACUCGCGCGACAAGUGGAGGCCCUGACCUGCGCGCCAAGAAUUUGAACUACGGAUUAAAAAAAAAGCGGUCGCAACAAUAACCAGACCUCGCUGGAACAUUGACGGCCUAAACACUCAACAGGAAGACAUGCCAUGCCAGCAGCGGAAUAGUAUUAAGGAAGAAUGCGAAUUGUAAUUACAACCAAAG